rnacentral:tRNA from 3 species
UCCUCGGUAGCUCAACGGUAGAGCGUUCGGCUGUUAACCGAAAUGUUGGGGGUUCGAAUCCCUCCCGAGGAGCCA